UACGUAGGGCGCAAGCGUUGUCCGGAAUUAUUGGGCGUAAAGAGCUCGUAGGCGGCUUGUCGCGUCGAUUGUGAAAGCCCGGGGCUUAACUCCGGGUCUGCAGUCGAUACGGGCAGGCUAGAGUGUGGUAGGGGAGAUCGGAAUUCCUGGUGUAGCGGUGAAAUGCGCAGAUAUCAGGAGGAACACCGGUGGCGAAGGCGGAUCUCUGGGCCAUUACUGACGCUGAGGCGCGAAAGCUAGGGGAGCAAACGGG
rnacentral:rRNA from 1 species